UUUGUUUCACAGUUUCGAAUUUCGAUGGAAAAUGACAAAAACGUGGUCGACGUGUCUCUUUACAUGGAAUAGCUUUAAUGCACACUGUGUGCUGUUAAACAGAUUCGAGGUCAGAGACAACCAUCAUUUAAUCACAAGACAUGCAAGUUUACUUUAUGCUGGUAUUGACCUGUCAUCAGCAACAUUCUUAGCAUCAUCGUUUGGAUAACAGCAUCCCUCUGGAGUGGAGAAACUACCGAUGCCGGUCGAGCUACGGAUCUCCUCAAUUCGCCUUUCUUUGAAUCCUUUCUACCCUCGUGUAUACCCAUGUGUGUGUGGGUGUAUUCACGAGGGCGUCAUUCUCCUACAUCCUUCCUGGUGUCUUCAACUUUUCAGCAAAUGGAUGAAGUACUUAAUGGAUGCUAUCUCCCAGACUUAAAGUCGAUUGAGCUGCUGUUGGUUCCUUUUGAUCGUUUCGUUGCCUUCGUCCUCGCACGCCUUGCGCUCCGCCUCUAUUCAAUUCCAACCCCCCCGGAAAAAAUUUUAUAAAAAGAAAAAGAAAAAAAUAACAAGACGAAAAAUAUAGAAAAUUGGGCAACAC